UUAUAUGUUUGGUUCUUUGAGAUUUUAAAAUUAUUUCUAUAUAAUAUUGUAUUUAAAUUUUUUCAGAUCAAUUUACAAGCUUUGGACUUUCAGAAUUUCGUCCCAUAGAUUCCUUUAACUAACUAUUAUUUAAUAAUUGUGUGGAACACUAAUUUUUAGCAGAAGGAGGUUCAUUGAACUAACAAAGUUAAAUGCCAAAACAUAGCUGAUAUAAGAAUCUUUUGUACUCUUUUAAAAGUAUAAGAACAAAAUAGACCAUUUUAAAAUUCUUUUAAUAGAGACACCAGAACAACUU